rnacentral:lncRNA from 1 species
GAAUAAAACAAUUACUUUACAGCUCAGUGCAAUGUAGUAUUUAAAGAAAAGGUAGGCAUUUUGAUUCCCAAGUAAACUAAAGAGAAGAAAACUGAGGCUUAAAGAGGGCCUGUUUGCGUGUUCCCAACUGCUAUGUGGCCAAGAAUAACAAUCUUUAAUAUUGGUAUCCUUAUUUACAAAGAAAAUGAGUGCAGAAAGGACAAGUAGUUUUCGUGAAACCACUUGGAAGUGGAGGAGAAGGGUUUUGAACUCCCAUCAUCUCAAGCUCAUGCUUUGCCAUCUCACCACAGUGAAAUGAUGGAAAACUCAAGUCUGCAAACCUUAAAUUUUCAAUCAAAGGGAGGAAACCUUGGGCAAAUGAAGAGGUCAUGGAUAUGAUAUGAAAAUAUUUUAUGAUUUUGCAUGUGAGAAGCUACUGCAUAGAUGAAUUCAACUGCAGGAUCCCUUUUAAAAAAUAUGUAUCUUCAAGAUUGAGUGUGAGCCUUCACAAACUCCUCCUUGUAUCUUAAGUCUGCUGGAGUACUGGCCUGACUCCACUCACUCACUGUGUACUUCGUUUGAAACUAACAAACAAUACAGUGACUGUCAGUAGAUGUUGCCUCCUCAGUCUACAGAGCCAACAAAAAUUAUGGAAAAGUACUGAAGAACUAAUACAGUUUAGACACCAGAGGUCUCACAAGUUAAACCCUCUAUAUAAUACAGAGCCCUCCUGAGAAUCAACUUAAGGUGAAAUGUUUUAAAGAAGAGAUAAUGGUGGUGGUGUGGUGGUACAUGUUGAGCAACCAGCUCUCUGGAGCAACUGAAAAAUACUUCUAAUCUGGCAAAUUCAGCGAGAAGACUGAGUUCCUUAAUUUCUGUCAGCACCAGUGAAAAACUGUCCUAAACUGACCCUGGCUUACAGAUGUACCACUGGAUCUUGGACUAAAUGCAAAGAAGAACAGCAGAAUGGUUGGUGGAGAUUCCUAUGCUUUCGACCCAUGGCGGGGUCACUAAGUCAGGUGAAUCACCUCCCACCCCUAAAGAUUCCCACCCAGUUAUGCCUUCUAAUGUGCUGUUCACAGUUUAUCAACUGAUUCUGAAAUUCUGAGACUUAACAGUUUUAAACUGACUGUUUAUGUUUCUUAUUUAUGCUUUUGCCUACCCCAUCAGUCUAAACCUGAUCCCUGAUUUCUCUCCAUUUUGUUUUAACUUCAUUUGAAACUCACGACUUUAAAGUGACUGUACGUUAGUUUUGACCACAACUAAACCUGGCUAAUAAAUGGCUCCACUUUC